AGCGAACGUUAGCGGCGGGCCUAACACAUGCAAGUCGAACGCGAAAGGUCUUCGGACUGAUUAGAGUGGCGCACGGGUGAGUAACACGUAGGUAAUCUACCCUUUGGCGGGGGAUAACGUUCCGAAAGGAGCGCUAAUACCGCAUAAGACCACGGAGUCUCCGGACGCUGUGGGAAAAGGUGGCCUCUUCUUGAAAGCUAUCACCGGAGGAUGAGCCUGCGUCCCGUCAGCUAGUUGGUAAGGUAAUGGCUUACCAAGGCAAAGACGGGUAGCUGGUUUGAGAGAAUGAUCAGCCACACUGGCACUGGAACACGGGCCAGACUCCUACGGGAGGCAGCAGUGAGGAAUAUUGGGCAAUGGGCGAAAGCCUGACCCAGCCACGCCGCGUGAGUGAUGAAGGCCCUCGGGUCGUAAAGCUCUGUGGAGAGGGACGAAAAACCUGGGGUCUAAUAGGCCCCGGACUUGACGGUACCUCUUUAGCAAGCACCGGCUAACUCUGUGCCAGCAGCCG
rnacentral:rRNA from 1 species